CCUACGGGUGGCUGCAGUGGGGGAUAUUGCACAAUGGGGGAAACCCUGAUGCAGCGACGCCGCGUGAGUGAAGAAGUAUUUCGGUAUGUAAAGCUCUAUCAGCAGGGAAGAAAAAAGACGGUACCUGACCAAGAAGCCCCGGCUAACUACGUGCCAGCAGCCGCGGUAAUACGUAGGGGGCAAGCGUUAUCCGGAUUUACUGGGUGUAAAGGGAGCGUAGACGGCAAUACAAGUCGGAAGUGAAAUACCCGGGCUCAACCUGGGAACUGCUUUGGAAACUGUAUGGCUAGAGUGCUGGAGAGGUAAGCGGAAUUCCUAGUGUAGCGGUGAAAUGCGUAGAUAUUAGGAGGAACACCAGUGGCGAAGGCGGCUUACUGGACAGUAACUGACGUUGAGGCUCGAAAGCGUGGGGAGCAAACAGGAUUAGAUACCCCAGUAGUC
rnacentral:rRNA from 1 species